GGGACACGUGGUAUCCUGUCUGAAUAUGGGGGGACCAUCCUCCAAGGCUAAAUACUCCUGACUGACCGAUAGUGAACCAGUACCGUGAGGGAAAGGCGAAAAGAACCCCGGCGAGGGGAGUGAAAAAGAACCUGAAACCGUGUACGUACAAGCAGUGGGAGCACGCUUAGGCGUGUGACUGCGUACCUUUUGUAUAAUGGGUCAGCGACUUAUAUUCUGUAGCAAGGUUAACCGAAUAGGGGAGCCGAAGGGAAACCGAGUCUUAACUGGGCGUUAAGUUGCAGGGUAUAGACCCGAAACCCGGUGAUCUAGCCAUGGGCAGGUUGAAGGUUGGGUAACACUAACUGGAGGACCGAACCGACUAAUGUUGAAAAAUUAGCGGAUGACUUGUGGCUGGGGGUGAAAGGCCAAUCAAACCGGGAGAUAGCUGGUUCUCCCCGAAAGCUAUUUAGGUAGCGCCUCGUGAAUUCAUCUCCGGGGGUAGAGCACUGUUUCGGCAAGGGGGUCAUCCCGACUUACCAACCCGAUGCAAACUGCGAAUACCGGAGAAUGUUAUCACGGGAGACACACGGCGGGUGCUAACGUCCGUCGUGAAGAGGGAAACAACCCAGACCGCCAGCUAAGGUCCCAAAGUCAUGGUUAAGUGGGAAACGAUGUGGGAAGGCCCAGACAGCCAGGAUGUUGGCUUAGAAGCAGCCAUCAUUUAAAGAAAGCGUAAUAGCUCACUGGUCGAGUCGGCCUGCGCGGAAGAUGUAACGGGGCUAAACCAUGCACCGAAGCUGCGGCAGCGACGCUUAUGCGUUGUUGGGUAGGGGAGCGUUCUGUAAGCCUGUGAAGGUGUGCUGUGAGGCAUGCUGGAGGUAUCAGAAGUGCGAAUGCUGACAUAAGUAACGAUAAAGCGGGUGAAAAGCCCGCUCGCCGGAAGACCAAGGGUUCCUGUCCAACGUUAAUCGGGGCAGGGUGAGUCGACCCCUAAGGCGAGGCCGAAAGGCGUAGUCGAUGGGAAACAGGUUAAUAUUCCUGUACUUGGUGUUACUGCGAAGGGGGGACGGAGAAGGCUAUGUUGGCCGGGCGACGGUUGUCCCGGUUUAAGCGUGUAGGCUGGUUUUCCAGGCAAAUCCGGAAAAUCAAGGCUGAGGCGUGAUGACGAGGCACUACGGUGCUGAAGCAACAAAUGCCCUGCUUCCAGGAAAAGCCUCUAAGCAUCAGGUAACAUCAAAUCGUACCCCAAACCGACACAGGUGGUCAGGUAGAGAAUACCAAGGCGCUUGAGAGAACUCGGGUGAAGGAACUAGGCAAAAUGGUGCCGUAACUUCGGGAGAAGGCACGCUGAUAUGUAGGUGAAGCGACUUGCUCGUGGAGCUGAAAUCAGUCGAAGAUACCAGCUGGCUGCAACUGUUUAUUAAAAACACAGCACUGUGCAAACACGAAAGUGGACGUAUACGGUGUGACGCCUGCCCGGUGCCGGAAGGUUAAUUGAUGGGGUCAGCGCAAGCGAAGCUCUUGAUCGAAGCCCCGGUAAACGGCGGCCGUAACUAUAACGGUCCUAAGGUAGCGAAAUUCCUUGUCGGGUAAGUUCCGACCUGCACGAAUGGCGUAAUGAUGGCCAGGCUGUCUCCACCCGAGACUCAGUGAAAUUGAACUCGCUGUGAAGAUGCAGUGUACCCGCGGCAAGACGGAAAGACCCCGUGAACCUUUACUAUAGCUUGACACUGAACAUUGAGCCUUGAUGUGUAGGAUAGGUGGGAGGCUUAGAAGUGUGGACGCCAGUCUGCAUGGAGCCGACCUUGAAAUACCACCCUUUAAUGUUUGAUGUUCUAACGUUGACCCGUAAUCCGGGUUGCGGACAGUGUCUGGUGGGUAGUUUGACUGGGGCGGUCUCCUCCUAAAGAGUAACGGAGGAGCACGAAGGUUGGCUAAUCCUGGUCGGACAUCAGGAGGUUAGUGCAAUGGCAUAAGCCAGCUUGACUGCGAGCGUGACGGCGCGAGCAGGUGCGAAAGCAGGUCAUAGUGAUCCGGUGGUUCUGAAUGGAAGGGCCAUCGCUCAACGGAUAAAAGGUACUCCGGGGAUAACAGGCUGAUACCGCCCAAGAGUUCAUAUCGACGGCGGUGUUUGGCACCUCGAUGUCGGCUCAUCACAUCCUGGGGCUGAAGUAGGUCCCAAGGGUAUGGCUGUUCGCCAUUUAAAGUGGUACGCGAGCUGGGUUUAGAACGUCGUGAGACAGUUCGGUCCCUAUCUGCCGU
rnacentral:rRNA from 1 species